AUUUGUCACAACCAUUUCGCAUUUAAUUUUACUGUUUCUCCAUACGAUGACAGAGAAGUUGACGCUUACAUUUUUCCAUCGAACAUUCUAACAGAAACACGUGUGGCGUGCGCAAAUACUUUAAUUUGGGUUUUAUAGUGAAGCUGCGCAAAAGGAGCUUACAUAGUUUGCAUUUGCAUUAGUGUGCCUGCCGCAUCGCCCGCUGCUUACGAAGGCUGUUUAAAAGGGACUUCCACAGAUUUUUUUUAUAUAAAAGACGACAUUUGCGAAAAGUCUACUCUGCAGUUUACACUAUGAGUGAGGAGUUGAUACCAUCAACUGAGCUGUCGUUAUUUGCCGAGCAAUGUCCGUUGGGAGAUGAGUCCCCUACAACGGAAAAUGUCGACAAUGAGUCCGUAGUAAUUUUGGAUAGUGAUGAACAGUUAAUUAAUUUAUUGUGUUCGUGGGAUUUGUCGUCAAAUGCAUUGAUACAGUUCAAUAGAUGUGGUUUAAAGAGUGUAGCAAUUUUGCAGAUGAUCCAUUCCCACGACAUUGACGAAAUUUUUAAUGCCAGAUAACUAAUUGCGGACAAAAUUAAGUUCCGGUACAACUUGCAAAAAUGGCGUUUAGAAAAUAAUUUCGAUAUGCUCACGUGCUGUAGUGGUGAUAGAACUAUAACAAACCUUUCAUCCAUUCGAAGCUGGCUGAGCUCUGCAAGCACACCUUCAACAUCCCCAAACAACGAACCCAACGUCGAAGAGGUUUUAAAAGAAACAGUAGCAGGUAACGACAUAAUAAAGAAGUACGAAGACUGUGGUUGCCUCCAAGAAAGUGACCAAUCUGCAAUAGUUCGCAUUAUUGUGGAUAAACUGAACCUGACGUAUUACGACGCCAUGCUUGGAGCACUUGAUGCAAAUUGCAGGCAUUAUUAUCUUAUAAACUUACUACAUGCAGUAAUAACACCGCCGAGAGUAAAUAAAAACAUAAAGCCCUCCAUUACAGAUGCACAAAUGGAUAUGAUGGUGCAUCUUAUAAAUAUUAAUAACUUCCAGCAAAAACUUGACGAGCUAAAUGAAAACGCUCACAACGAGGGAUUAACACUGCAACCUAGAGUUUUUGUUGUUGGUGAGAGUCCUUAAAACUUGAAGGAAUUCUAUGUCUGUGUUGACAACAUUAAAUAUAAAGUAGGUAGCUUAAUUAGGGCUAUAGAUAUAGUUGUAAAAAUAUCUUUUGUAUUCAACAUUGAAUAUUCCGUAAAGAGCAAAUAUGUGUGGAUUUUCCUUCAACGAUAUAUUUAUGAUAUUUCCUCUAAGGAAAAAUUUCCCAAAAUUGAAAAUAUU